UCAGGCUGGAAUAUCCAUCCACAACCCAUUUUCAAUGCCCUGGCUGAGGGAAGGAGGUUCUCAUCCAAGAUUUAACGGUACAUGGUCCCGUCCAUCAUCCCUUUGAUGCGGUGCAGUUGUCCUGUCACCUGGGGAUGGUGUACUUGGGGUCAUAGGCAGCAUUCCUCCUUCUCCAAACACGGCGAGUUGAGUUGAUGCCAAAGAGCUGGAUUUUGGUCUCAUUUGACCACAACACUUUCACCCAGUUCUCCUCUGAAUCAUUCAGAUGUUCACUGGCAAACUUCAGAUGGUCCUGUACAUGUGCUUUCUUUAGCAGGGGGACCUUGCGGGCGCUACUGGACGUACGUCACGGCGUAGUGUGUUACCAGUAGUGUGUUUGGUGACUAUGGUCCCAGCUGCCUUGAGAUCAUUGACAAAAUCCUCCAGUGUAAUUCUGGGCUGAUUCCUCGCUGUUCUCAUGAUCAUUGAAACUCCAUGAGGUGAGAUCUUGCAUGGAGCCCCAGACCGAGGAAGAUUGACAGUCCUUUUGUGUUUCUUCCAUUUGGGAAUAAUCACACCAACUGUUGUCACCUUCUCACCAAGCUGCUUGGAGAUGGUCUUGUAGCUCAGUCCAGCCUUGUAGACCCAGAGCUAUUAUGUUCACAUUCACUGGCAAAAAUCCAAGUUAAACCCCAGUUACCGCUGAUCUCAGUCUCUCUUUCUCAUCUUGCUCUUCCCAUCGGAGUUCACACAGGGCCUCUUAGGUUUUAGCAUCCAGAAGACUCCUAGAAAAUAUAACAGAAAAGAAAAAUGGACUGCAGUGUAAUUUCAGAAUCUUACAUAACUGAGACACAUUUCCGUUUUGAGUAAACUCCACCCAGCACAUGCAGCUUCCACACAGCACAUACAUCUGAGGUAGGACGCAUCAACAGCAUCACAGGGAUGAACAGUGUACUGGUCUUCUGCAGUUCGGCCUUCCACUGGUCCACAGUCCAGUCCUCUUCCACAGCAGCAAGCAUCUGAUAUCGUGCUUCAGCUGUGGACCACUAAGACAGCUAGGCAUUUUUGGAGCUUGCAUGUUGUGAAAUUACAUCCAGCCACUGCUAUGAAAGUACAGUUUUUAUUCAUGAGUUUUCAGAAAUAAAUCCUACAACAGUUGUUCAUUUUAAAAUCAUUUUUAAGACGUCUUGUCCACCGGUGUGUCCACAGCCUCUUUCCUGCCUCUUUCCUACUACAGAAGGCACUGAGUGCAUGAAGUUUCUGACAUUUCACACUUUGGUUUUUUUUUUUUUGGACUCAUUAUUGAUAAUUGACUAGUACAGAUAUUCAGUCAAUCUGGAUGAUUGAAAAUGCAAGUUUUCCCAUUUGAGAUGAUACGAUUCUGACAUUCAUACACUAGACAUUAUUGUACAUAGUGUAAGUGCAUGGUGUGUAGUACAUCAUUUGGGACACAGCUGUAGUCUUUGACAUGGCAUCAAUACUGAAGGUGGAAUGUAACCUCAAGCUGUACUGUAAACAUAAAACCAGAUUAGAAAAUGUAGCAUAUGUGGAAUUUUAAAAAUGCACAAACACCAUAUUGGUUUUAUGAGCAAUUUGGUGGGAAAAACAGGUCAACUGGAAUGAUUGCAUAGUUUUAAAAUCAACUAUGAUUUUCAUAGUUGAUUUCAUAGUUUAUAAAGAAAUCAGUUACAGUUUUCGUUUUUUAAAUUUAUUGCUCGAGGUGGAUGUUUCCAGUUAUGGGCCGCAUUAUCCCUGCAUCACGGCAACCCAGGCAAACAUUUCCUGUGUGCCUACUAUAGGAAAUUAACUGAAGCAGAAACCAAUUACGACAUAUGCAAUCAUAUCCUUCUAUCAACCAAAGACACACUAGAGAAAUGGAGGCUCUGGCUGUAGGGAGCUCAAUGCCCUUUUCAGGUGAUCACUGACCGUAAGAAGGUGGAAUAUAUUUUAAUAAAAUGCAAAACAUCUGAUCACCAGUCAAGCCAGGUGGCCAAUGUUAUUUAUAUAAUAUUAUUCACGUAACAGGAAUUAAAAACUAAACGGAUGAAAUCCAGUAAGCACAAUACACUGAGAGUCCUCCUCCUGAAUUUUCACUCACAAAGAAUUUUGUGCCUACAAGCUUUCGGCAAAGAAACAUCCAGUGGGUGCAGUGGAAGCUUGGUGGACCUGGGAUUUGAACUCACAACCUUCCAAUCAGUAGUCCAGCACCCUUUCAUCAUUAAGCUAGACUUUUGCGAACACCUUGGUGUCAACAUCAGUCUCAGUUUUGGAUAAUACCCACAAUCAAACCCCCAACUACCGUAUCUGUCCCACCUUCCAUGUCUCGCUCUUCAAGCCAGACCACAACCCCCACCACUUCCCCUAGAGAUUGACGAGUCACCUGCCUACAUGGUCCAUGCCAUCCUGGACUCCUGCCAGAAAGGAGGCCGGCUUCAGUACUUAGGUAGGGGUACAAGGGGUAGGGCCUUGAGGAAAGGAACCACCCUGACAAACCUGCCCACAGGGACGCCCAUGAAGAAGAAAGUGAAGGUGAAGGUGUUCCCAGAGGAUGGGGGUCUGUAACAACCUGAACCCCAUUGAAAACCUCUGGAAUGUGAUUAAGAGGAAGAUGGAUGGUCACAAGCCAUCAAACAAAGCUGAGCUGCUAGAAUUUUUGUGCCAGGACUGCACAUAAGUUCAACAAACAUCAGUGUGAAAAAUUUGCGGCGUGCAUGCCAACACUUAAAACAAGAUGGAGACAGUGUAGGCAAACAUGUAUAUGGGAGAGACAUACAAGGACAAAACAAACAACACAGGGACCACCUAGCAUAGUGGCUCCUUUUCUCUGGUGCCGUGAGAGGCUUCACAAACCUGUGAAUCCAGAAUUAUAUGGAUUUGGCUUAGAUGUUUUAUUUAACUUGGCAUUUCUCCCUCCAGCUUUUCAAAGGAGAGGCCCUUACAGGGUCCCAUUGUAAAGGCUCAACCUCCCAUCCGACAAGCUUUAGUCUUCUGGCCUGCUGGCUCUUCUGAAUUCAUUCUCCUUGUCAUUCAACAGCUGCGCUUCCACACACAAGGGAGGAAACCUCCUGGAUUUGGUCUGCACUUGUCCUUCCCCAGCUACAGAUAAGACUACUACCCCACUUCACAUCUCUGAUCAUCACUUGGUGGAAGAUUCUUGUCAUGCUCCUUGGCUGUCAGAUGUGCUUUGCAACAAUCAAAGAGAAAUACGAACAGCAGAGAGGAAGUGGAAGGAACGCAAAUCUCAUCUCUUAUCACAUGCUUCUGUCCCAACUUCUGCCAAGACUUCCUUCUACAAGGAAACAUUUCUGCAAAAGACCCCCGAAAGCUCCCCAACAUCUUCUCUUCACUACUCCACCCUCCAACUCCACCUACUCCAUCCUCCCUGACUGCCAAAGAGUUCACCAAUUGUUACACAGAGAAGAUCUGCCAGACCUUCACUUCUGCCCCAACUUCACCUACAUUACACAGCCAGGACUCCCCUAGUCCUUUAUUGAGGCAUCUCUCAACCAUAGCAACAGAAGAGGUUUUGCAAAUCAUCACCAGUCCUGCAAACCUACCACCUGCCCACUGGAUCCAAUCCCUUCCACUAUGCUCUGGUCCAUCUCGCCUGACCUCCUGCCCUUCAUCAGCACAGUCAUCAAUGGAUCCAUAUCUUCUGGUCAUGUACCAACUGCUUUCAAUAAAGCAAGGGUUAUACCCAUAUUGCAGAAACCUGCUCUGGAUCCCUCAGACAUCAGUAACUACAGACCGGUAUCACCUCUCGUUUCUUUCAAAAAUUCUCGAAUGCAUUGUUUAUAAUCAGCUGUCUAACUAUCUCUUUCAAAACAACCUCCAAGAUCCCAACCAGUCUGUCUUAAAAGUAGCACAUUCCACAGAGACUGCCCUUUUGGUGGUCACUGAGAAACUGCAUGCUGCUAGAUAAGCCAAGCUCUCCUCAUCCUCCUUGACCUUUCUGCAGCAUUUGAUGCAGUAAACCACAAGACUAUCUUGUCCACCCUUAAGAGUCUUGGAAUAUGUGGAGCAGCAUGUGAAUGGUUUGCUCCCUACCUGGAUGGUCGCUCAUAUCAGGUAACAUAGAUGGGAUUGACAUCCUUUCCAUGCAGACUCUCUACUGGUUUCCCACAAGGCUCAGUAUUUUGGUCCUCUCCUUUUCUUCCUUUACACUCGCUCUCUUGGCAAAGUUAUAUUCUCACAUGGGUUUUCAUGCCACUGCUAUGCCAAUGACACCCAACUUAUCUCCUCCUUCCCUCCCUUAGAAACCAUGGUUUGUGCUCAGAUCUUAGUGUGUCUGGUGGACAUUUCAUCUUGGAUGACAGCUCAUCAACUGUAACUUAAUCCCAGCAAAACUGAACUGCUGGUCAUCCCAGGUGAUUCAUCUCCAGCCCAGGACCUUGCAUUAUCUCUGAAUAACUCCCUGAUCUUCCCUUCGGCCACUGCUUGCAACCUUGGGGUAACCAUGGACAAUCAACUGUCCUUUUCCUCCCAUGUUGCUAAUGUGACAUGCUCUUGUGGGUUUCUUCUGCACAACGUUAGAAGGAUUCGACCAUUUCUUUCCACACAGGCUCCUCACGUGCUUGUUCAGUCUCUUGUCAUUUCGAGACUGUACUACUGCAACUCUUUACCGGCAGGUCUAACUCUGAACGCAAUUCAUCCACUGCAAAUGAUCCAAAAUGCAGCUGCAUAGCUUGUUUUCAACCGGCUUAAGUUCUCCCACACCACCCCACUGCUGUGUUCUCUUCACUGGCUUCUGAUAGCUGCACGCAUCAGAUUCAAAACACUGAUGCUUGCCUACAAAGCCAAGAAUGGACCAGCACCAUCUUACCUCAAAGAUCUUAUUACUCCUCGCAUUGCACCUCACUCCCUCAGAUCCACUAGCACUGCCCGACUGGUCCCACCAUCUCUCAGGGUAAAAGGUAGGUUUACAUCUAGACUCUUCUCUAUUUUGGCACCAAGGUGGUGGAAUGAACUUCCCCUAGAUGUUUGGUACAGCCGAGUCACUGACUGUCUUCAAAUGAUGACUGAAGACCUACCUCUUCCGGAAACACUAGCACUUGGCACGAUGACAAGAUGGCACCGGUGAGGUCGGCUGCCAUCACGACUGCUCUGACCCCUGUUUCUUUGUUUUUGUUUUUUAAGUUAACCUACAGUACUUUUAAACCGACAAAUUCUUCUAAAUGGAGUGCAUUAGGUACAAUAGAGAUAAACUUAUUUCUAUUGAUAUAUAAUGUACUCACAAUUCGACGUUUUUAACCCUGGAUCCAAGCUGGCUGAGUGAGAUCUUGAAGGAGAAUGAAGGACGCGACCCGAAGCAGCAACCCUGGGGGAAACAAGCCAGCGUCAGGAAUAGGCUGAGAGCCUGUGCACACCACACACCUCUGCCUAGCAUCCUGCUCGCCAACGUCCAGUCACUGCAGAACAAGCUCGAUGACCUCAGGGCCAGGGUAAAGUGCCAGAGAGACAUUCGGGACUGCAAUCCAAUGAAUGGAGUUCAUUCCAUAAGUUCAUUCCACCACCUCUGUGCAAGAACAGAGAAGAGUGUAGAUAUAUACGUACCUUUUACCCAUAGAGAUCGUGGAGCUAGUUCAGCAGUGCUAGUGGAUCUGAGUGAGCGAAGUGCAGUGUGAAA